CUUUUCAAUGUAAAUAUGGGGUAAACACCAUGUAGGAAAAUAGUGGCUGAUAAAAUCCAAGAGGUAACCUCCUUCCUCUUCUUUUCCAGGACCCAAAAUGUUGAAAGCUCUCUUGAUGGAAGAAUUAAUAGGCUCUAGUUGCUGACUCAUGAAACCCCUAAAGAAGAUCAAGUCAUCAUUAUUUAUUUCCUUCAGAUGAGCUAUGAAGAAGUUAAUUCAGAGAUCUCAACCACGGCCAAGAAGAGUAACUUGAUUUUUGCAUCACUAUCUUCCUUUCUGCAAAGUACAUGGCAAUUAAAUUGAGAAUCUUCUCUUCUCGUGAUGGGGCCUGUGGUGGGGAGGUUGACCAAGAGAGAAAAGACUGCCUGGCGAUCCUGUCUCCUGCGCUCGCUGAAGUGUCACUCCAGGACCUUGCUUCAGACAGGUAAGCUCCUCCAUCGAUUAAGCCAGUGAUGUCUCUGUUGCUGACUUUGGGCCCUUUCUUUGGUCUGGAAGCUGGACAA
rnacentral:lncRNA from 1 species